rnacentral:lncRNA from 1 species
UCUACUCAUAGACCAAGGAACAACCUCUUUCUAGCACGAACAACCUCUAUUCUAGUACAUACAACCCAGGAUGGAGGAACCAACUGAAUUUCUUGUAGAAACCACAACCACAAUACCAGAACCCUCCUCAACCCACCUCGAGUACCCAUAGCUCUGCUUUCAAAGAAAAGGUGCUGCAAGCACUAAAGGACUAGAAGUGAGCACCAAAAUUCUUCACUCCCAUAUGCAAUUAAUAGCAAAGCUGGAGAUCUAGAUAGGUCAGCUAGCAACAGCUUUCAGUAGG